AGGGGUAUAGCUCAGUGGUAAAGUGCAUGCUUAGCACGCAUGAUGCCCUGGUUUCCUUCCCCAGUACUUUGA
rnacentral:tRNA from 1 species